rnacentral:rRNA from 1 species
AACGGCGAGUGAAGCGGCAAGAGCUCAAAUUUGAAAUCUGGCCUCCCCCGGGGGCCCGAGUUGUAAUUUGCAGAGGAUGCUUCGGGUGCGGCCGCCGUCUAAGUUCCUUGGAACAGGACGUCAGUGAGGGUGUGAAUCCCGUCUUGGGCGGGCGGUCCGCGCCCGUGUGAAGCUCCUUCGACGAGUCGAGUUGUUUGGGAAUGCAGCUCUAAGCGGGUGGUAAAUUUCAUCUAAAGCUAAAUAUUGGCCGGAGACCGAUAGCGCACAAGUAGAGUGAUCGAAAGGUUAAAAGCACCUUGAAAAGGGAGUUAAACAGCACGUGAAAUUGUUGAAAGGGAAGCGCUUGCGGCCAGAYUCGGGGGCGGGGUUCAGCGGGUGCUCGUCGCCCGUGUAUUCCUCGUCUCCCGGGCCAGCAUCAGUUUCGACGGCCGGUCAAAGGCCCCCGGAAUGUGUCGUCUCUCGGGACGUCUUAUAGCCGGGGGUGCAAUGCGGCCCGUCGGGACUGAGGAACGCGCUCCGGCUCGGAUGCUGGCGUAAUGGCCGUAAGCGGCCCGUCUUGAAACACGGACCAAGGAGUCUAACAUCCACGCGAGUGUUCGGGUGUCAAACCCGUGCGCGCAGUGAAAGCGAACGGAGGUGGGAGCCCUAGGGCGCACCAUCGACCGAUCCUGAAGUCUUCGGAUGGAUUUGAGUAGGAGCGUGGCCGUUGGGACCCGAAAGAUGGUGAACUAUGCCUGAAUAGGGUGAAGCCAGAGGAAACUCUGGUGGAGGCUCGCAGCGGUUCUGACGUGCAAAUCGAUCGUCAAAUUU